rnacentral:rRNA from 1 species
AAAGGAACGCUAAUACCGCAUACGUCCUACGGGAGAAAGCGGGGGACCUUCGGGCCUUGCGCUAUCAGAUGAGCCUAGGUCGGAUUAGCUAGUUGGUGAGGUAAUGGCUCACCAAGGCGACGAUCCGUAACUGGUCUGAGAGGAUGAUCAGUCACACUGGAACUGAGACACGGUCCAGACUCCUACGGGAGGCAGCAGCC